UUUUGGUUUAGUUAUGAGGCAGAUAUUGAGCCAUUGGCCCUUUGAGGGGACUCUUAUUUUCUCUUAUUAAUUGUCCUCCAAGCAGCCUUACACAUUU